AGAGAACAUGAACUAUAGUUGUGGCUGUAUACAUAAAAAGUAGUAGACCGAUUCAAGGAAUUACAUGAAUAACAAGAUUAUUAAUUUAAAAAUUAUAUCAAUUAACAAGGUUCGGACCUUCAUUUAUAUGGAUAGUGAAGGAGUGGGCUGAUUCAAAUUAGGAAUGCUCCAAGUUUUGAACUUGCAUUCCUGAGAAGAUGAUGAUCUAAUUUCUGAAAUAUCGAUGGCAGAAAAUAUAUGAAACUGAAUACAACACACUUUUUUUUUACAUUCUUUAUUUCAAGCCUUGACAGAUCUGCCAUAUAUAGAUAACUAGCAAUGAGUUACAGUUAUUCAUUUAGACCUGUGUCUGCUUGCAUGUUAUUGGAUAUAGCAUUGCCACAUUAUGUAAUGGUUGUUCAGUUUUCCUCAUGAGUCUGUGAGUUUGAAAAUUUUGUUCAACUUCACAAAAUCUGAACCAAGUGUUUCUGAUUAUUAUGUUCUACACCGCCCAUGAAGUUGAAUAUUACGUUUUCCAAAACAACCUACGGCCCACCCUAUCCCCAUAUUGUGCCUAUAAAGACUCCAGGCUCAGUCAGUAGAGGGAAGAGGCCUCUUGACUUUGGAAAGAAGAUGGCUGGACUUUGGAGAAGAGACGGGUCGACUUUGGAGAGAAGAUAGCUGGACUUUGGGGAAGAAGAGACAGCUUGACUUCAGUGAAGAUGGCUGGAAUUCAGUGAGAACUAUCUGCCCUUCCCCUCCCCUCUCCAGCUCCCGUCUCCUCUGAGAACCAUUCCCACCGCUCAAUAAAAUUCUCUGCCUUCACCAUCCUUCAAGUGCCCAUGCGACCUCAUUGUUCUUGGAUGCUGGACAAGAGCUUGGGACCCACCAAGUGCGGAUAUCCAAAAAGGCUGUCACACCAGCCCUUUGCCCUCACUGGUGGAGGGCAGCUGCCCCACAUGAUGAGGCAAGGGUUCAGCUGAGCUUUUAACACACAGCCAUCCACAGACAGUGGAACUAAAGGAGAGCUGUAACACCCCCUCUGGUGUUUUGGGGUCAUAGGCUCCCCCACUAGUAUGCUGCCACAGGUCCUGCACAGAGCUUGCUCUCACUGGCGCCUGGAGCAACUAGCUGGUCCUGCAUUAGCUCACUCAUAUGCUCGCUUUCACAAGGGGUUGAGAACAGUGGGCCAAGUAAACAUUUGUCCCUGUCACAAAUCCAAUGAAAGGGCCACGAAAAAUCUUGCAUCAAUUUUUAAAUAAGCUGGGCACGGUGGCUCACGUACUUUGG
rnacentral:lncRNA from 10 species